GAAGCUUCUACUACCCAAGCUGUGAACCCCACAACCACUCUUAUAUCCUCAGCAACUGCUCCUACAACAACAUCAAAUGCUGCUCCAACAUCAUCUUCAACCACUGAAGGUUAUACAACCACAGCUGUGAGCCCCACAACCACUCAGAUAUCAGCAGAAACUACAACAACAGCAAAAGCUGCUCCAGCAACACAAUUGUCAACAACAAAUGAAACUUUAACAACCAAAACAGUGAACCCCACAACCAUGCCUAUGUUCCCAUCACCUACAACUGCACCUCCGGGAACAGAAAAUGCUACUCCAGGAACAACAAUUGGUUUCUCUGUGACUCCUUCAAACCUCAUGUAAGUGUUGGAUUUCUAUUUUGACAACAAUCAAAACUGGAGAAGGAAUUUUAUUGCAAAUAUUUGAUGAACGUUAAACAAAAGUGGUUAUAUUUACAGAUCUGGAUCAGCAGUGGUCAAAAGCAAGCUGGUGUUCAACUCCUCAUCUCCAGUCCCCAGUGAAUCUCUGGUCCUCAAUGCAAUCAAAACUCUGCGUUAUUCCAGAGAGUCACAGCUCAAUGAAUCGGUGAAGGUGGAGAAUGUCACCUAUGAGAGUAAGUGUCAUCAUUUUCACUUGGAAAGUUCUGAAAUGAGAUUGAGUCAAACAAUGAUGCAUUACAGGCUUUUGAAACAUCUUUAAAUUACGUUUUCCUCCCAAAUAGAAAUCUCAGAAACCUCCUAUGCUGUGUUCUUUACAUUUAACGUGAUUAACAUCAGCAUGCCAGAGGAGCCUAAGUCUAGAGGCAACACCAACCAGCAAGUGCAGGAUACCAUCAAUAAAGUGGUAAACUUAAAAUAAUAAACAGUGUAAAAAGGCUUAGGUACAAUGCCAGUUUUCACAAGAAACUGAUGAUUGGUUUGAUUUUUCUUUUGCAGCUGAACACUCUUCUGAAUGAACCUGGCAGUCUAAGUUUACAACCCAAGACCUCCAACUUCACGUAAGAUGCAAAUUUAUAUUGCAAUCUUGACUUUG
ensembl:lncRNA